AUUGAACGCUGGCGGCAGGCCUAACACAUGCAAGUCGAGCGGAGGGGCGGACGGGUGAGUAAUGCCUAGGAAUCGGCCUGGUAGUGGGGGAUAACGUCCGGAAAAGGGCGCUAAUACCGCAUACUAUCAGAAGAGCCUAGUUCGGAAUAGCUAGUGGGUGGGGUAAAGGCCUACCAAGGCGACGAUCCGUAACUGGUCUGAGAGGAGGAUCAGUCACCCUGGAACUGAGACACGGUCCAGACUCCUACGUGAGGCAGCAGUGGGGAAUAUUGGACAAUGGGCCAAAGCCUGAUCCAGCCAUGCCGCGUGUGUGAAGAAGGUCUUCGGAUUGGAAAGCACUUUAAGUUGGGAGGCGUUACCAACAGAAUAAGCACCGGCUAACUUCGUGCCAGCAGCCGCGGUAAUAC
rnacentral:rRNA from 1 species